GAGUUUGAUCCUGGCUCAGAAUCAACGCUGGCGGCGUGCCUAACACAGCAAGUCGGACGCGAAACCCGCAUUUAAGUGGGGAGUAGAGUGGCGAACGGGUGAGUAACACGUGGGUAAUCUGCCCUUUGGAGAGGGAUAACCCCGCGAAAGCGGGGCUAAUACCUUAUAAGUUUUUCGGAUUGGAAGGAUCUGGAAAGGAAAGGAUGCAAAUCGCCGAAGGAGGAGCCCGCGACCCAUUAGCUAGUUGGAGAGGUAAGAGCUCACCAAGGCGACGAUGGGUAGCCGGUCUGAGAGGACGGACGGCCACACUGGGACUGAGACACGGCCCAGACUCCUACGGGAGGCAGCAGUGGGGAAUUUUGGGCAAUGGGCGCAAGCCUGACCCAGCAACGCCGCGUGCAGGACGAAGGCCUUCGGGUCGUAAACUGCUGUCCAGAGGGACGAAGCAAGUGACGGUACCUCUGGAGGAAGCCCCGGCUAACUCCGUGCCAGCAGCCGCGGUAAUAC
rnacentral:rRNA from 1 species